UGCCUAGUAGCCAAGUGGUAAGGCAUCAGACUUUGACUCUGACAUGCGCUAGUUCGAAUCUAGCCUAGGCAG
rnacentral:tRNA from 1 species